GACGAACGCUGGCGGCGUGCUUAACACAUGCAAGUCGAACGGAAAGGCCCUGCUUUUGUGGGGUGCUCGAGUGGCGAACGGGUGAGUAACACGUGAGUAACCUGCCCUUGACUUUGGGAUAACUUCAGGAAACUGGGGCUAAUACCGGAUAGGAGCUCCUGCUGCAUGGUGGGGGUUGGAAAGUUUCGGCGGUUGGGGAUGGACUCGCGGCUUAUCAGCUUGUUGGUGGGGUAGUGGCUUACCAAGGCUUUGACGGGUAGCCGGCCUGAGAGGGUGACCGGCCACAUUAGGACUGAGAUACGGCCCAGACUCCUACAGGAGGCAGCAGUGGGGAAUAUUGCACAAUGGGCGGAAGCCUGAUGCAGCAACGCCGCGUGCGGGAUGACGGCCUUCGGGUUGUAAACCGCUUUCGCCUGUGACGAAGCGUGAGUGACGGUAAUGGGUAAAGAAGCACCGACUAACUACGUG
rnacentral:rRNA from 1 species